UACGAAGGGGGCAAGCGUUGUUCGGAAUCAUUGGGCGUAAAGGGCGCGUAGGCGGACUUAUAAGUCGAUUGUGAAAUCCCUGGGCUUAACCCGGGAAUUGCAGUCGAAACUGCAAGUCUUGAGUUCUCGAGAGGAUGGUGGAAUUCCUGGAGUAGUAGUGAAAUACGUAGAUAUCAGGAGGAACACCGGAGGCGAAGGCGGCCAUCUGGCGAGACACUGACGCUAAGGCGCGAAAGCGUGGGUAGCAAACAGG
rnacentral:rRNA from 1 species